CACGUAGGGGACGAGCGUUGUCCGGAUUCAUUGGGCGUAAAGCGCGCGUAGGCGGUUCGGAAAGUCGGUCGUGAAAUGCCGGGGCUCAACCCCGGGACUGCGUCCGAUACUUCCGAACUGGAGGCAGGUAGGGGAGAUCGGAAUUCCUGGUGUAGCGGUGAAAUGCGCAGAUAUCAGGAGGAACACCGGUGGCGAAGGCGGAUCUCUGGGCCUUGCCUGACGCUGAGGCGCGAAAGCUAGGGGAGCGAACAGGAUUAGAAACCCCCGUAGUCC
rnacentral:rRNA from 1 species